GGCGAACGCUGGCGGCGUGCCUAACACAUGCAAGUGGAGCGACGAACCGGGCUUCGGCCCGGGGCCAAGCCGCGAACGGGUGAGUAACACGUGGGUAACCUGCCCUGAUGAUUGGGACAACCCGAGGAAACUCGGGCUAAUACCGAAUGUGCCCUCCGACCAUAAGGUCUGCGGGGAAAGGAAGCUUCGGCCUCCGCAUCGGGAUGGGCCCGCGGCGCAUUAGCUUGGUUGGUGAGGUAACGGCUCACCAAGGCGACGAUGCGUAGCUGGUCUGAGAGGACGAUCAGCCACACUGGGACUGAGACACGGCCCAGACUCCUACGGGAGGCAGCAGUGGGGAAUCUUGCGCAAUGCGCGAAAGCGUGACGCAGCAACGCCGC
rnacentral:rRNA from 1 species